CAGGGAGGCAGGGCUGGAAUUUCUGCCUAUUAAGCAUGUUGUGAUCAGCUCUGCCACUGCACUGGAUCUCUGAUAGACUUUCCAGAGAGCAACUGCUGUGGACUGCGUUCUUCCAUUCUUGCCCAAAAGGACCAGAAGCUUCCUCUGUUAUUUCUGUGCUCCACAGUUGCAUCUUGAAGGUACAGAACAGCAUUAAUAACUGGCUUUUUCAGGUACAGAGCCACUUGUGGGGAAGAGAACCAUGGAGCAUAAUCUGGACAGUUCCUCCUCCUCAAAUGCCAU